CAGCUGCGAGACUUGGUGUGAAUUGCAGGACACAUUGAGCACUGAUUUUUCGAACGCGCAUUGCGGCCUCGGGUCUCGCCCGGGGCCUCGCCUGUCUGAGGGUCGGAUGCGACAUACCGAGAGGUUAAACUUUCCAGCGUGUUCCUUUCUUCCGGUCCGAGUUCCGGAAGUGGUAGUGCGUGGAUUGAAACCUCACGUGGCCGCUUCGGAGCAUGCGCCAACAUGGCGACGCUCCGUCGGCUCGAGUCCUGGUUCGAUGUUGAUGGGGAAGACCUCCACUCGGCGUCCAUCUCGACGUGGCCGUGGGAAAGGCGAAUGAAACGUUCUUUCUACACCGCUGGCUCAUCGUUCGAGAUGCCGUGACGGGGUUCUUCGUUCUCAUUUUGUCGACCUCAGAUCAGACGAGACGACCCGCUGAAUU
rnacentral:rRNA from 1 species